rnacentral:rRNA from 1 species
AUUGAACGCUGGCGGCACGCCUAACACAUGCAAGUCGAACGAGUGGCGGACGGGUGAGUAAUGUCUGGGGAACUGCCUGAUGGAGGGGGAUAACUACUGGAAACGGUAGCUAAUACCGCAUACUAUCGGAUGUGCCCAGAUGGGAUUAGCUAGUAGGUGGGGUAAAGGCUCACCUAGGCGACGAUCCCUAGCUGGUCUGAGAGGAUGAUCAGCCACACUGGAACUGAGACACGGCCCAGACUCCUACGGGAGGCAGCAGUGGGGAAUAUUGCACAAUGGGCGCAAGCCUGAUGCAGCCAUGCCGCGUGUAUGAAGAAGGCCUUCGGGUUGUAAAGUACUUUCAGCGGGGAGGCGUUACCCGCAGAAGAAGCACCGGCUAACUCCGUGCCAGCAGCCGCGGUAAUAC